rnacentral:rRNA from 1 species
UACGAAGGGGGCGAGCGUUGUUCGGAAUCACUGGGCGUAAAGGGCGCGCAGGCGGUCUCGUUUGUCGAGUGUGAAAGCCCCGGGCUCAACCUGGGAAUGGCGCUCGGAACGGCGGGACUUGAGAUCGGGAGAGGAGAGUGGAAUUCCCAGUGUAGAGGUGAAAUUCGUAGAUAUUGGGAAGAACACCGGUGGCGAAGGCGGCUCUCUGGACCGAUACUGACGCUGAGGCGCGAAAGCGUGGGGAG